GGUGACCCUUCACAGGCUGCCCAGAAUGAAGGGCACGUCCAGACACCAUUACGCCCAUUUCUCACAUCCUCAUUAAACAUGCAGAACACGCCUGGACAGUCCAGAAGGACUUCCAACUAGGUGUAAAUUCACAAGCCUUCAAUCCUGGAAAUCUAAUUCCCUUCAACACCCUCAUAAUCAUGAAACACUAGAGUUUCAAAACUGUAAAUCAGUCCCUUUAUUAAAACAUAUAAAUGUGGUACUGUUUUUGAAAUUGGGAAAUCAACAGUGGGCGUGUCACCGACUAGUGCCCCAAGGAACUCAAGGGUGGGUUUGGAAGCAUUUAACUGUUUUUCCAAGUUGUUUUUUUCCUCCUUUUGUUAUGUUAAGGAGACACAACCAGCAACCACCCUGAAGCUAACCAAGCCUCCUUACAAGAGCUACUCCCAUGACCUUGCCUUAUUUUUGAAAGGAAGAUCUCUUCAGGAGAUUAAGCCUCAUUACCAUAGUCUGCAGUGUAUGCAGAAGCAUGUUUUCCAACUGAGCCUAUGCAAGCGAAUACCUGCCUCUCCCUUUUGAAUAUUGAUUCUCCAACUGAAAUAAAAGUUCCUGCUUCCCUUUGUUCCAGGACUCUAUGACUUUGAAAAUGAUUCCUCAUGGCCUCCUAUUUGCUGCAAAUACGCUUUACUUUGUGAGAUAACUUCCACUGGUAUAGAGUCUUAUUUAACUCACCAGGAGGUGAGCCCACUUGGUUCAGUAACAGAAUUGGUGACCCAGAGGGGACAUACCCCUUUGUGAUGCCUGUGCUGCCGUCUUGACGUCACUGCCCCUUCGGGAGACCCAGCAGCCGCACUGAGAGCUUUGCUCAGAGGACCUCUCCAUGGAGAUAUUUAUUGUUUUACUCUGAUGCUUUUACAAGACAUGUUUCAUCUUCAGAGGAAUUCAUGAAAAGGACUCUGAUACUUACUCUAGAAGGCAGGCUUCUGGUAAACUUUCUGAUUAUAAAACUGAACUGGGUAAGAAAUUACAGACCUCUAAUAGAAGAACUGAUGACCUCAUGAAACUGCUAACAGAAGAUUAAGAUCAAGAAUUGAUUACACAGGACCGAAUGAACUGAUGAAGAUAAUAAUUUUUAUGAUUUUUCAUUUGAAAUAUUGCUGAUUUUUUAAAUGUUUUUUUUUUUCAAAUUUAAGGAAAACUUUUUCUCUUUUUUCUUAAGCUAACUUUGACUUAUAGCAAUUUGGUAAAUUAUACCUUUGUAAGCAUAAUUGAAACAUUUAUCUUUUUCUCUCUACCUGAUCCCUCCAGGAUUUGGAAACUCUUAGUGAGUAAGUGUUGUUUUCAUGGCAAUAUAGUUAUUUGCAUAAAUUCAAUAAGAAUCUGUUCUCCUUAUAACAGGGGACAAUUGGAAACACUGGUUAUACUACCAAGGCUUUGGAAUAUCGUAUUUGAGAGAAACAUGCAUAGACUCAGAUAUGACCGGAUAACUUUUGAGAGACAAAGAUCAGACUUUAUGGAAUAAAGCCACUUGGAAGUAUUGGCCUGAUACCUUGUUUAUGGAAGUUCCAAGCAAUCUUACCUGGGAAAAUAAGGAAGGUCACUUCUCUGGCAUGUGCAAGGAACCUCAAAAUAUUUUGGGGGACCUCGAAAAGAGAGGAAUUCACCAAAAUCUGUAGGUAUUGCAGGUGAAAUCUGAUGACAAGCCCUUGGCUUGGCUUUCCCCACCUCGAGAGGCCUUUAAAGUUCAAUCUGAGAUUCCUCAUAAAGAGUUCUAGCAAAGCAGAUUUAAAAGAGCCUCUAUGAUCAGUUCCUGUUCUUGCUGCACUUAUGUAAAUAAUUGAAUCAAGUUUUAUUGAAACUAGACCUAUUUUGCAAACCAAUUAGUCUUAAUUCAGCUAUCUUUGGUAAAAAUCAGGGUGAUUUUAGAGAGAAAAAUUAUGUUUCAGUAGAAACUAUAGUAUACAUUCAUGGAUAUUAGAUUCUAGUCCUGUUAAUUAUCUUUGAGGUUUUUGUUUUAUAUCUGUUAACUGGACUGGAUCCUGAAUUCUUCUGGUUUCCUGAAAUAUCUGGCUACAAAUCUCCAAACUAAUAUUUUCAAUUUUCCCAUCAUUUUCAUUUGGAAUCAUUGAGAACUGAACCUGUACUUUUUCCUGAAGCUUUGCAAACUGAAGCUGGAGAACUUGAUAUAAACUUAAGAGAUUCAUGUCUGUUGCUGUGUAAGCCACGCAGAAAGAUACCUGAAUGCAGGAUGACAUCAUUAGAGACAUUUUAAGCUGAAAAAGAUGCUUUGAUGCUGACAUCAAAAAAUCUUCUUAACUGGCUGUCCUCUGAAUUCAGAAACUGGUUUAUAAUUUGCUCCAACUAUUAACUUUGUUUUUCUUUUGUUUCCAUAGAAAUGCUUCUUAUUAAAUACCUGCUUGCUUGCUUCCACAAUAUAGGCCUAACUUUGGGAGCUCACCUGCAUCACUGCCUUCUAAAAUGAACUUAACUGGACUGAUCUAUUAUCAGGACUAAGAAAUGUGUUCAGUGAGUUGGAACAAUCUACCACUCAGCUUCUGGACUAUGAAAGUUCUUUAAAUUGCAAAAGGACUGUGAGUUAGGAUCAAAAUUGCCGAAGCAUUCUUUUCUAAGGAGUCACCCCAUGGAUCCACCACACACAAGUGAAAAAGGCUCCCACCCCUGAACAUCAAGAGAGAUCAUCACAGACA